ensembl:lncRNA
CAGCCGUAAAGCAGAGCAAGAGUUCUGGGAGCCUGUUAUUUACAAUAAUUGUAGAUUGUGAGUGGACAUUUUAAAGAGAAGCUUACAAGUUAGUUGUACUUUCUGGUAGUAAUUACCGCCCACAAACAUGACUCACUUCGGCAGUUUAAAUGCAAGAGUUGGGUGUCCCAAAGUCAACAGUCUUAUAAAUAAAUCUCUGAAUCAUGAACUGAAUGUAUAAGUGUUUAAAUACUUCUGAUCUCAAAGACAGCUUUAGAUGUAAGAUUCAUGCACUAAAGUACCUCAAGGAAAAGCUAAAACGAAGAUUCAGGAAGUCUCUGUGCGCCGGGGUGAAGCUUUCCACACUGUGGAAGUCACCAUCCUCUCGGGAAGACCCAAAUUCCAGCAACCAGAGGGGAAACUACUGGAGAAUCUGCUCCUCAAAAAAGCAGAAGUAAAAGAAGAAAAAGGAAGACUUGAGAUACAGGAAACAGAGGAUUUAGGAGACUAAGGAAAUUCCCAGGAGUUAACGAAAGGAUGUUCCAGAAGGACAGCUGUGCGGCAGCCCUGGACAGCAAGCCCACAUUUGAACAAGAAGAUUGAAAGCCAUGGGAGAGAAAUCUCCAGAGAGCGGAAAAUGGCACUGAUUGAUUUGCUGUGUUUAGCUUUCGGGAAAAGUUAUUUUUCAGUUGUUUGACAGAUAUGUUACAAUAUUGGAAAAAAAUAUAUAGCGAUAGAUACACAGGAACUAAGCAAAUAAAAAUAUAAACAAGGCAAUUAUUAGUUCUAGGAAGAAUAAAAACUUGUAUGAAAAAGGAAACAAAGUGUACUACCUGGACGAGCAGUAGAAAAGAUUUAUGUCAUCCUACUAACGUAAACAAUGACUGCUGAUAGAGCCAAAAAUGGAAAUUUCACUCUACUGGGAAGACGGGAGAGACCGAGUGGAGAGGGAGGGGUAAGACAACCACAGCCGCACCUACCAUCGUAUCAAGUUGACACUGUCUAGAAUUCAUAAACCAAGGAACUGUAUCCUAAGUAUAUUGAUUACAAUGUGGAAAAGCACAUAGAAGAAGUGAACUCGGCAUAGAAGAAGUGAACUCGGCUGCCUCUGGGUUGUCGGUUUGGGAGGUAAAGAGAAACAGUAAGGGGAGUGUUGUUUUUCAACAAGACUUACAGGGUUGUUUGUUGUUGCUGAGAAGUAACUGACAUAUAACAUUAUAUUAGUUCCAGAUGUAUUGGCUUUAAGGUUUUUUAAUCUCAAAAUAUGUAAAUAUGCUCAUGUACUACCUUGCAAAUGAAAAAAUAAAAAUAACAAACACAUUUAAAAAGGGCUCAUCUCGAGAAGGCAACUUCAUCAGAGAUGUCACUAACUUUAAGCAGCUGCUUUGAGAACCAUGUUGAGUGAUUCCAAUCUGAGGGUUAAAGAUCACAAUUUUGCUCUUUAAAAAAAAAAUCCUGAAUUUAGGAAGCUAAUUCUAAUGCCCCAAAACUGAGAGAGAAGAAGCAAAAGAAUUAAGGAUAAGAGAGAUUCAAUAAGAGGAAGAGAAGUGAGGAGGGGAAAGUGAAAGAGCAAAUAAGUUAGAAAAAAGAAGUUGAAAAGGAAGUAAGCCUUGAAAGCUGAG